rnacentral:rRNA from 1 species
GAAUAUUGCACAAUGGGCGAAAGCCUGAUGCAGCAACGCCGCGUGAGUGAUGAAGGCCUUCGGGUCGAAAAACUCUGUCCUCAAGGAAGAUAAUGACGGUACUUGAGGAGGAAGCCCCGGCUAACUACGUGCCAGCAGCCGCGGCAAUACGUAGGGGGCUAGCGUUAUCCGUAUUUACUGGGCGUAAAGGGUGCGUAGGUGGUUUCUUAAGUGAGAAGUGAAAGGCUACGGAUCAACCGUAGUAAGCUUUUGAAACUGGGAAACUUGAGUGCAGGAGAGGAAAGUGGAAUUCCUAGUGUAGCGGUGAAAUGCGUAGAUAUUAGGAGGAACACCAGUAGCGAAGGCGGCUUUCUGGACUGUAACUGACACUGAGGCACGAAAGCGUGGGGAGCAAACA